GUAUGGGCGCAGGCCUGAACCAGCCNAGUAGCGUGAAGGAUGACUGCCCUAUGGGUUGUAAACUUCUUUUAUAAAGGAAUAAAGUCGGGUAUGUAUACCCGUUUGCAUGUACUUUAUGAAUAAGGAUCGGCUAACUCCGUGCCAGCAGCCGCGGUAAUACGGAGGAUCCGAGCGUUAUCCGGAUUUAUUGGGUUUAAAGGGAGCGUAGAUGGAUGUUUAAGUCAGUUGUGAAAGUUUGCGGCUCAACCGUAAAAUUGCAGUUGAUACUGGAUAUCUUGAGUGCAGUUGAGGCAGGCGGAAUUCGUGGUGUAGCGGUGAAAUGCUUAGAUAUCACGAAGAACUCCGAUUGCGAAGGCAGCCUGCUAAGCUGCAACUGACAUUGAGGCUCGAAAGUGUGGGUAUCAAACAGGAUUAGAUACCCUGGUAGUCCAAGGGCGAAUUC
rnacentral:rRNA from 1 species